CAACCCGAGAGAUCGGGCGUUCCCCUUCGGGGGACAGGGUGACAGGUGGUGCAUGGUUGUCGUCAGCUCGUGUCGUGAGAUGUUGGGUUAAGUCCCGCAACGAGCGCAACCCUCGACCUUAGUUGCCAGCAUUCAGUUGGGCACUCUAAGGUGACUGCCGGCUAAAAGUCGGAGGAAGGUGGGGAUGACGUCAAAUCAUCAUGCCCCUUAUGACCUGGGCUAUACACGUGCUACAAUGGGCGGUACAAAGGGUCGCGAACCCGCGAGGGGGAGCCAAUCCCAAAAAGCCGCUCUCAGUUCGGAUUGCAGGCUGCAACUCGCCUGCAUGAAGCCGGAAUCGCUAGUAAUCGCGGAUCAGCAUGCCGCGGUGAAUACGUUCCCGGGCCUU
rnacentral:rRNA from 1 species